rnacentral:rRNA from 1 species
UACAGAGGGGGCAAGCGUUGUUCGGAAUUACUGGGCGUAAAGGGCGCGUAGGCGGCCUUCUGAGUCGAACGUGAAAUCCCUCGGCUUAACCGGGGAACUGCGUCUGAUACUGGAUGGCUUGAGAUUGGGAGAGGGAUGCGGAAUUCCAGGUGUAGCGGUGAAAUGCGUAGAUAUCUGGAGGAACACCGGUGGCGAAGGCGGCAUCCUGGACCAACACUGACACUGAGGAGCGAAAGCCAGGGGAGCAAACGGG